AUGGGAUGGCCACACGCCCGUAGCCUCUCCGGUUUCUUCUCUCCGAGCGGCACCGGCUCCGGCGUGCCCUCUCGAUCCAGAAAACUCAGGCGACGCAGGCCGCCAUGGCCGGUGGAUGUCUGCCCAUGCUCAACAAAGGACAAACCUCCCGGAAACACCGCACCACGUGCUCCGGUGGAGCAAACUUUAGGCGAGAUGAAUGAGAGACAUCAGGCGUGGCGCCGUCGGUCGGCACCGGAACAUGCCGGACCGUGCCGGGAGCCGAAGAUGGCCGCGCAAGGCACGGAGGACGCCGAAAGGCCGCGCAUGGCGUAUCCUCGAUCCGGAUCCGUCCAGGGAAUUUCGAUCGGGAAAUCUCCCGUCGGGCAACCACCGCCCCCGCCUCGGCGGUUUCCGGUGGUCUUCGCCUGUCCGCGCCUGCUAAUUAAGAAAUGCACUGUGCUGGUGGCUGGACGGACGAACGAACGCGGCAACCACCAUGAUCGAUCGGCCUGGCUGGCCAGACAGAGGGACAGAUCGAGCUUUGUUCCCAAGAAAUCUUGA
rnacentral:rRNA from 1 species